GUGGCAGGUAGCCUAGUGGUUAGAGUGUAGAGGUGGCAGGUAGCCUAGUGGUUAGAGUGUAGAGGUGGCAGGUAGCCUAGUGGUUAGAGUGUAGAGGUGGCAGGUAGCCUAGUGGUUAGAGUGUAGAGGUGGCAGGUAGCCUAGUGGUUAGAGUGUAGAGGUGGUAGGUAGCCUAGUGGUUAGAGUGUAGAGGUGGCAGGUAGCCUAGUGGUUAGAGUGUAGAGGUGGCAGGUAGCCUAGUGGUUAGAGUGUAGAGGUGGCAGGUAGCCUAGUGGUUAGAGUGUAGAGGUGGCAGGUAGCCUAGUGGUUAGAGUGUAGAGGUGGCAGGUAGCCUAGUGGUUAGAGUGUAGAGGUGGCAGGUAGCCUAGUGGUUAGAGUGUAGAGGUGGCAGGUAGCCUAGUGGUUAGAGUGUAGAGGUGGCAGGUAGCCUAGUGGUUAGAGUGUAGAGGAGGCAGGUAGCCUAGUGGUUAGAGUGUAGAGGUGGCAGGUAGCCUAGUGGUUAGAGUGUAGAGGUGGCAGGUAGCCUAGUGGUUAGAGUGUAGAGGUGGCAGGUAGCCUAGUGGUUAGAGUGUAGAGGUGGCAGGUAGCCUAGUGGUUAGAGUGUAGAGGUGGCAGGUAGCCUAGUGGUUAGAGUGUAGAGGUGGCAGGUAGCCUAGUGGUUAGAGUGUAGAGGCGGCAGGUAGCCUAGUGGUUAGAGUGUAGAGGUGGCAGGUAGCCUAGUGGUUAGAGUGUAGAGGAGGCAGGUAGCCUAGUGGUUAGAGUGUAGAGGAGGCAGGUAGCCUUGUGGUUAGAGUGUAGAGGAGGCAGGGUAGCCUAGUGGUUAGAGUGUAGAGGAGGCAGGGUAGCCUAGUGGUUAGAGUGUAGAGGAGGCAGGGUAGCCUAGUGGUUAGAGUGUAGAGGUGGCAGGGUAGCCUAGUGGUUAGAGUGUAGAGGAGGCAGGGAGCCUAGUGGUUAGAGUGUAGAGGAGGCAGGUAGCCUAGUGGUUAGAGUGUAGAGGUGGCAGGUAGCCUUGUGGUUAGAGUGUAGAGGUGGCAGGUAGCCUAGUGGUUAGAGUGUAGAGGAGGCAGGUAGCCUAGUGGUUAGAGUGUAGAGGUGGCAGGUAGCCUAGUGGUUAGAGUGUAGAGGCGGCAGGUAGCCUAGUGGUUAGAGUGUAGAGGUGGCAGGUAGCCUAGUGGUUAGAGUGUAGAGGAGGUAGGUAGCCUAGUGGUUAGAGUGUAGAGGAGGCAGGUAGCCUAGUGGUUAGAGUGUAGAGGUGGCAGGUAGCCUAGUGGUUAGAGUGUAGAGGAGGCAGGUAGCCUAGUGGUUAGAGUGUAGAGGCGGCAGGGUAGCCUAGUGGUUAGAGUGUAGAGGUGGCAGGUAGCCUAGUGGUUAGAGUGUAGAGGUGGCAGGUAGCCUAGUGGUUAGAGUGUAGAGGUGGCAGGUAGCCUAGUGGUUAGAGUGUAGAGGUGGCAGUGUAGCCUAGUGGUUAGAGUGUAGAGGUGGCAGGUAGCCUAGUGGUUAGAGUGUAGAGGAGGCAGGGUAGCCUAGUGGUUAGAGUGUAGAGGUGGCAGGUAGCCUAGUGGUUAGAGUGUAGAGGAGGCAGGUAGCCUAGUGGUUAGAGUGUAGAGGUGGCAGGUAGCCUAGUGGUUAGAGUGUAGAGGUGGCAGGUAGCCUAGUGGUUAGAGUGUAGAGGAGGCAGGGUAGCCUAGUGGUUAGAGUGUAGAGGUGGCAGGUAGCCUAGUGGUUAGAGUGUAGAGGAGGUAGGUAGCCUAGUGGUUAGAGUGUAGAGGCGGCAGGUAGCCUAGUGGUUAGAGUGUAGAGGAGGCAGGGUAGCCUAGUGG